AAAGAAAAUAACAAUGAUUCCCUCAGUAACGGCGAGCGAAGAGGGAUAAGCUCAAAUUUUAAAUCUGUUGGGUUCCACUUAACAGAGUUGUAUUUUGAAGAAACGUUUUCUGCAUCCAGGAUUAGCCUAAAUCCUUUGGGAUAGGGUAUCAUGGAGGGUGAGAAUCCCGUUCAUGGUUAAUCUUAAGGAAGCUCUACGAUACGUUUUCCAAGAGUCGAGUUGUUUGGGAUUGCAGCUCAAAAUGGGAGGUAAAUUUCUCCUAAGGCUAAAUAUUGGCGAGAGACCGAUAGCGAACAAGUACCGUGAGGGAAAGAUGAAAAGAACUUUGAAAAGAGAGUUAAACAGUACGUGAAAUUGUUGAAAGGGAAACGAUUGAAG
rnacentral:rRNA from 1 species